CCUGGGGAAUCGACACUAAGUCACCUUUAUACCUUUACCUGACUAGACUAGACUGGAGGACCGACGCUAAGUCACCUUUAUACCUGACUAGACUAGCCUGGAGGACCGACACUAAGUCACCUUUAUACCUUUACAUAACUAGACUAGCCUGGGGAACCAACACUAAGUCACCUUUAUACCUGACUAGACUAGCCUGGAGGACCGACACUAAGUCACCUUUACCUGACUAGACUAGCCUGGGGAAUCGACACUAAGUCACCUUUAUACCUUUACCUGACUAGACUAGACUGGAGGACCGACGCUAAGUCACCUGUUUCAUUUAUUUCACCUUUAUUUAACCAGGUAGGCAAGUUGAGAACAAGUCCUUUAUUUAACCAGGUAGGCAAGUUGAGAACAAGUCCUUUAUUUAACCAGGUACGCUAGUUGAGAACUAGUUCUCAUUUACAAUUGCGACCUGGCCAAGAUAAAGCAAAGCAGUUCGACACAAACAACAACACAGAGUUACACAUGGAGUAAAAACAAACCUACAGUCAAUAAUACAGUAGAAAAAUAAGUCUAUAUACAAUGUGAGCAAAUGAGGUGAGAUAAGGGAGGUAAAGGCAAUAAAUAGGCCAUGGUGGCGAAGUAAAUACAAUAUAGCAAGUAAAACACUGGAAUGGUAGAUUUGUAGUGGAAGAAAGUGCAAAGUAGAAAUAUAAAUAAUGGGGUGCAAAGGAGCAAAAUAAAUAAAUAAAUACAGUAGGGGAAGAGGUAUUUGUAUGGGCUAAAUUAUAGAUGGGCUAUGUACAGGUGUAGUGGUCUGUGAGCUGCUCUGUACCUGACUAGCCUAGGGUUAGAGACUAUUUUUUUUGAAACAAAUCAGAUCAAAUAUGUGUCUAUCCACUGUUCAUAUAUAGAAGAUACUGUUUUGCAUUUGAUCUGAUCCUUUACAUAACACCUUUAAACCUUUCUUUGUGAUGCAAUGUUACACAUGUAUGUACAGUUUAUACAGAGUUAGUUAUUCCUGGUGUUCCUGUGUGUCGUUCAGAGCUUAGCUGUCCUGACGUUAAGUCACCUUUAUACCUGUAACUGACUAGAACUUCCUGUGCGUCGUUCAGAGCUUAGCUGUCCUGACGUUAAGUCACCUUUAUACCUGUAACUGACUAGAACUUCCUGUGUGUCAUUCAUAGCUUAGCUGUACUAAAAUGUAUUAUUCUGGACGUCCAUGUCUUUCUC
rnacentral:lncRNA from 1 species